rnacentral:lncRNA from 10 species
UAUCUCAUCACACGUUGUCUUAUUUUAAUACAAUUUUGACACAUUUCCUUGAGGGGUGGGGGUCUACAUUCCCUUCCCUUGAAUCUGGAUAGGCCUGUAACCAUGAUGGAAGUGAUACACCAAGACUUCCAAUGUUAGGUCAUAAAACGUGGUAGAGGCUUCCACCAGCUUUCUCUCAAGACAUCUGCCCUCAGAACUCAGUCAUGGCGCUCUGAGAAGGCCUAAACUAGGACAUAGGAGCAGAACACAUGGAGAAAAAUUAAGGCCUCCGGUCCAUAGCCAGCAGCAACUGCCAGGCAUGUGAGUGAAUGAUUCUUCAGAUUAUUUCUAGCCACCAGCUUCCCUCCAUUUUUUGGGACAGGGUCUUGCUCUGUCACCGAGGCUGGAGUGCAAUGGUAUGCACAUGGCUCAGUGCAGCCUCACCCUCCUGGGCUCAAGCAGUUCUCCCACCUUAGUCUCCUGAGUAGCUGGAACUACAGGCAUGCACCACCAUGCCCAGCUAAUUUUUAAAAAAUUUUUGAAGAGAUGGGGUUUUGCCAUGUUGGCCAGGCUGGUCUUGAAUUCUGGGCUUAAAGGAUCCUUCCACCUUGGCCUCCCAAAGUGCUGGGAUUACAAGUGUGAGCCACCAUGCCCAGCCUUCAGCAACCAGCCUUAUAGUCUUCCAGUUGAGUCCUAAGAAAUCAUGGAGCAGAGACAAGCUGUCCCCACUGUUUUCUGCUCACAUUCCUGACCAACACACGGAAUAGCAGAGAAAUGCUCAUGGUGCUAUGCCAGCAGAAUUUGCUUGAAAUCUGUCCUCUGGAAUUUUUUGGAAAUUAAUCUUCAAGGGUUUCUUGAAAAGCUCUUCGUGGAGAGGUCUCUCACUGAGGGCACUCUCUUUCUUCCGCAAUGUCUCUCCACUGCCCUCUACUGACAAAGCUUCAAUGCCAAUUGGCAAAAGAAAACCAAGGACUCAAGAUUCAUUUCCACGAAGCAGGCAAAAAGGGUGAAUUUGGAGCUGAGAGGCAAUAAAUCCUGAA